CAGCAGCCGCGGGAAUACGAAGGGGGCUAGCGUUGCUCGGAAUCACUGGGCGUAAAGGGUGCGUAGGCGGGUCUUUAAGUCAGGGGUGAAAUCCUGGAGCUCAACUCCAGAACUGCCUUUGAUACUGAAGAUCUUGAGUUCGGGAGAGGUGAGUGGAACUGCGAGUGCAGAGGUGAAAUUCGUGGAUAUUCGCAAGAACACCAGUGGCGAAGGCGGCUCACUAGCCCGAUACUGACGCUGAGGCACGAAAGCGUGGGGAGCAAACAGGAUUAGAGACCCCUGUAGUCCCUGUCUCUUAUAA
rnacentral:rRNA from 1 species